rnacentral:rRNA from 1 species
CGCUCAGAUUGAACGCUGGCGGCAGGCCUAACACAUGCAAGUCGAGCGGAUGACGGGAGCUUGCUCCUUGAUUCAGCGGCGGACGGGUGAGUAAUGCCUAGGAAUCUGCCUGGUAGUGGGGGACAACGUUUCGAAAGGAACGCUAAUACCGCAUACGUCCUACGGGAGAAAGCAGGGGACCUUCGGGCCUUGCGCUAUCAGAUGAGCCUAGGUCGGAUUAGCUAGUUGGUGAGGUAAUGGCUCACCAAGGCGACGAUCCGUAACUGGUCUGAGAGGAUGAUCAGUCACACUGGAACUGAGACACGGUCCAGACUCCUACGGGAGGCAGCAGUGGGGAAUAUUGGACAAUGGGCGAAAGCCUGAUCCAGCCAUGCCGCGUGUGUGAAGAAGGUCUUCGGAUUGUAAAGCACUUUAAGUUGGGAGGAAGGGCAGUAAGUUAAUACCUUGCUGUUUUGACGUUACCGACAGAAUAAGCACCGGCUAACUCUGUGCCAGCAGCCGCGGUAAUACAGAGGGUGCAAGCGUUAAUCGGAAUUACUGGGCGUAAAGCGCGCGUAGGUGGUUUGUUAAGUUGGAUGUGAAAGCCCCGGGCUCAACCUGGGAACUGCAUCCAAAACUGGCAAGCUAGAGUACGGUAGAGGGUGGUGGAAUUUCCUGUGUAGCGGUGAAAUGCGUAGAUAUAGGAAGGAACACCAGUGGCGAAGGCGACCACCUGGACUGAUACUGACAC